rnacentral:lncRNA from 1 species
CUAAUUCAAUUAGACUUAUUCCAAAGCUCUUUAUCCAACUAAAUUGAGUCAAUUAGUAAUAUAAUUAUUAAUUAAUUUUCUAUAAAUAGUAGAGUCUCAAUUUCAGUGGGACUCUCCCACAGUCCUAGUCCAAGUAGGACUUUUCACCAGAGUCACAAUCCAAUUAGACUCUUCAGCCAUGAGAUCUGAUCAAAUCUUCUAAUGCGUGUAACUCCAUAGGUUCGAAUCUAAGUUGAUAGCAUAGAAAUAACUUUCUUUACCAAUCGAUAUAACCAUCUAACAAUGAUGACCC